CCUACGGGAGGCAGCAGUGGGGAAUAUUGCACAAUGGGGGAAACCCUGAUGCAGCGACGCCGCGUGAGUGAAGAAGUAUUUCGGUAUGUAAAGCUCUAUCAGCAGGAACGAGACAAGACGGUACCUGACUAAGAAGCCCCGGCUAACUACGUGCCAGCAGCCGCGGUAAUACGUAGGGGGCAAGCGUUAUCCGGAAUCACUGGGUGUAAAGGGAGCGUAGACGGCUGAGCAAGCCUGAAGUGAAAGGCGGGGGCCCAACCCCCGGACUGCUUUGGGAACUGUACGGCUGGAGUGCAGGAGAGGUAAGUGGAAUUCCUAGUGUAGCGGUGAAAUGCGUAGAUAUUAGGAGGAACACCAGUGGCGAAGGCGGUUUACUGGACUGUAACUGACGUUGAGGCUCGAAAGCGUGGGGAGCAAACAGGAUUAGAUACCCGGGUAGUC
rnacentral:rRNA from 1 species